GUGUGUGUUUUCAUACAUCUCAGUACCAACGGAUCUUCCUGACUCUGGAGUGACUGAGGGACAGCAGCAUUCUGGUUAAUGCAAUGCUGGCCAUAGAUGCAGUCUGCAGGCCCCUGACAACCAGUGGUUUGCUGCUGCAUGAGGAUCUACCCUCCAACCAUACAGAACCAAGGAUAGGCAAAAGAAAAGCUCCAAAGGAACUCCCAACACAUGAGGGAAGAAAGCAAAGAACACCUCCAACAGGUGUAAGCUCCAGGAGAGAGAGUGGGGUUUCCACUGUGUUGGGCUCAGUGCUGUGUUCUCAGCCCCUGGAACAGGGCCCAACAAGUGUUUCUGAAUGGAUGGAUGGACCAGUAGCCCCUGAUGAAAGUGAGCUGCCAGAGAAAACAGACCUCCCUCCAUUCACCAAGACCAAACUGGCAGAAACAAGAAGGCAUAACUACAAGGUUUUGUUUGGGGAACUAAUAUAAAAAUUUCUGAAUUUGAAAGUUUGAUGGAAAAAUUAUAAAGGCAUGGUAAUAUUGAGAGUCACUCACAGGCUGGAAGACCAAGAGGAAGAAGUAUAUCAAAAUUUGAAACAAAAAUGCAAACUAGAAUUGAUGGAGUAGAUAAGAGGCUUAGCAGAUAAAGUCAUGAGCAUUUGUACAAAAAGAAAUAAUGGGAGUAAAGGAAAUAAUCAUAAAAAUAAUUGAGGAAAAUUAAUUCAUAAAACUCAGGUUUGAAAAAAUACUUGAGUCUGCAGAUUAAAAUGGCCCACUGAGUUCCAAGGGGGAGCUACAAAUAAGGACAUACUCCUAGGCAUAUCCUAUAAAAUUAUUGAACUUCAAGGAUAAGAACUUAGAAUGUUUUUGGCAUGUCCCAGGGCUUGGCUCCUGUCCACACUAGCAAAUGGCAUGCACUGAGCAUGUGCCUUUCAAAGGGCUCAGCCAGUGGAAGCUGGGAGAGCACUGGUAGUACUGGCUGCUAGAAAUGGAAUCUGCCUGUCAGCAACUGAAGGGGUGACUAUAUCUAGAAUUUGAGGAAAGUGAAAUCAGAAGCCUCAUAGAGUUCAUCUAACCCCGUCAUCCCAUUUCACAAAUGACCUUGAGGCCCACUGAGAAAUGAUUUGCACAAGGUUGAAGAACUCAUUCCAGACAGAGCAGGGAUUAGAAUCUCCAACUCCUGACUCUAGUUUGGUAUUUUUUGUUAAUUUUUUUUACCUCCUUUCUAUAAGAGUAGAUAUAUUCAACUUUUUGCCCCUUUAUUUUUUUGGAAGACAAUAUUCUAAGUAAAGAACAAAAUCACAACAGCCAGUUGUGUUGGCCACACAAACACUUGCCCAGCCCCAAAUUCUAUACCAUCUUAAUGAAAUGCUACACAGUACGAACACCCUCUUCCACUGCAAUGCAAAGCAAGGAAGCUGUGAAAGACAGAAGUUUAACUGGUGGUUACACUUUAUACCUUCAUUGUCAAUUACAGUUUUAUACUAAAUUAACUUGGUCGUGAGAGCUGAUUUUCCACUUCCCCAGUUUGAACUUCUUGGUCAGGCCAAUCCACUUGCAAGUCUGCACUGUUUCAGCACCUCACUGGCACCCUCACAGAGCUUUAUGUCACCCUGGUUCUGGCACACUCCAAAAACUCCUCUCACAGAAGCAAGGCUGCCGCUGCUGUGCAGCUCAGUCUGAGGUUCCUAGUAAGUGAUGCUGGGCCUUGUGGCCCCAGCAUUACUUCCUCCACUGAUCCCACUCUGAUAGCAUGACUCAAUGUGUGCCCGACAGCAGAGCCCACAGCCACACCAGUUACAGUGGUUGCCAUCUGGGUCAUCAGACAUAGCUGCCAGGGGCACAGCUGCAGGAGAGCCAACUGCAGAGGGUGCUGGUGGCUAAGCUAGCUGCUAAUGCUGGCCUGGGUACAGUUAUCAUCCAGUGCCUGGUGGGUGGGAGUCAUUCAGUACCAAUUCUGAGCCUGAGCGCAAACUCAUGUUUCUGCUCAUCCUUCUCUGGCUUCUGCCACCACAUGGGAAAAACAUGCCCUGGUUAGCCCAUGGCCUCUGAAGAGCGACAGAAAGUAGAGUAGAGCCUACUCCAGCCUCCCCCAGCCCAAUGCACUAAAGCCCAACUUAUCUGUAAGCUUAGGAGCAUGAUAAAUGCUUAGCACUGCAUGCCAUGGAGUUCUGGAGUGGUUUAUUACACAGCAAUAUCUAGCUAAAUACGUUUUUGACAUAUGCUGCAGCUUCUUGGAUCCAGCCUGGUUACCAGGAAGACAAAAACUGGGCUCCAAGAACCAGUCAUCCUUCCUUCUGCCUUCCCAACCAUCACCUCUGGCUGCGUCAGUGAUCUGUCUCAGCAAAAGAGCUGCUUGGUCUUGUGUGACUCCUGUACUUUACAGCAGACUGAGUGUCAGGCAUUGAAAAUAAAGGAGUAACCCUAUGGACUCUGCAACUUGGUUCCUUUGACCCUUAACAGUGCUGGGGUUGGAAGCCCAGGAGACCAGUGAAGAUCCAGAGACCCUUCACCCCAGCUCAGUGCAGGACAGUGGACUCAGAGGCUAUGUGUGUCUGGGGCAGAGCCUGAGGUAGCCUGAGCGUCCUGUGGCUCCAGGGUGACAUCAUAGAGAAGCUAAAUUCUGUCUUUCUGGAAUAGGCAUGGGAGUUAGCUGAGAAGCAGACCCUGUGGGCCUGGAUGUCUCAAUCAUCAUGUAAGGACAUUUCAGUGGGAAAUUUCAGAUGGACAAUUCAACCAAGGUUCUCAUGAGGACACCCAUGUCUUUGGGGUUGGAGAUGGGGGGCCCUUCUACACAGACAGCCACACAGACAGCUGCACAGCCCUGCCUCCAACAUCCUAACACUGUAUUGUCUCCCUGCACUUAGCAGCCCUGCAGGGUGAGACAUGGGGAGGAUCCUGAAAUGGAUGAUGGUGUUUAAUAAGACAUGCUGUCCUUGUUUACCAGGAACCUAGUAAUGUUAUGUUUUCUGCCAUCACUUGAAUAGGUAAUUGAAGUAGAGAUGAUAUUGAGUUUAAAAAAAAAAAAAAAGCAUAAAACUAUGGGUUCUUUGCAGCCUGAAUAGAUGGCCUAAAAGUUCAAAUUUGCCUUAUGGCAUUUGCUCAAGGAAAACCAGUGUAGGUAGUCUUUGACCCCCUUUCCUCCCUAUCCUUUCUUCCUUCUGAGGACUAAACUCUGAUUUUUUUAUCUUGCCCAAAUUCCUAUCUAAGGAGUCUGGGGAGUCAUACUGAGGGACUCUUCCCGUGUCAGCAAGGGGCGGAGUUUCAAAGGCAGGAGUUUCCCAGCUCCACCCCUCCAUCCAGGAACAUAAAGUUCUUUGUCUGGGUUUCCUAUGUGUGAGCUAGGUAGAAAAAUCCAGGUGGGCUCCUUUGUCCAAAAAGCCCACCUAAAGCUCUGGGAGGAGGGGGCUCUAACUCCAAGUUGUGGACCAAGCAGCCAAUCCGGUAUCAGAGUCAAAUAUCAAUCACUCCAGAGGAAGUUUGAAAGAACUCCUCUCUUUGGAUGAGAACAUGAAUUGGGAGGGAAUAACUCAAGGGUUAAAAUCCUGCUGCUCCCUCUCUAUAUGGAUUCCUUCUCUGGAUCCCCUCCCACAGCAGGGUGGGAGCUGUGUGUCUGUUUCUCUCUCUCUGCCUAAUAAAUCACUUCU